UACAGAGGUCCCAAGCGUUGUUCGGAUUCAUUGGGCGUAAAGGGUGCGUAGGUGGCGGGGUAAGUCAGGUGUGAAAUUUCGGAGCUUAACUCCGAAACUGCAUUUGAUACUGCCUUGCUUGAGGACUGGAGAGGAGACUGGAAUUCACGGUGUAGCAGUGAAAUGCGUAGAGAUCGUGAGGAAGACCAGUGGCGAAGGCGGGUCUCUGGACAGUUACUGACACUGAGGCACGAAGGCCAGGGGAGCAAACGGG
rnacentral:rRNA from 1 species